rnacentral:rRNA from 1 species
GACGAACGCUGGCGGCGUGCCUAAUACAUGCAAGUUGAGCGAUGAAGAUUGGUGCUUGCACCAAUUUGAAGAGCAGCGAACGGGUGAGUAACGCGUGGGGAAUCUGCCUUUGAGCGGGGGACAACAUUUGGAAACGAAUGCUAAUACCGCAUAACAACUUUAAACAUAAGUUUUAAGUUUGAAAGAUGCAAUUGCAUCACUCAAAGAUGAUCCCGCGUUGUAUUAGCUAGUUGGUGAGGUAAAGGCUCACCAAGGCGAUGAUACAUAGCCGACCUGGGAGGGUGAUCGGCCACAGUGGGACGGAGACACGGCCCAAACGGCUACGGGAGGCAGCAGGAGGGAAUCUUCGGCAAUGGACGAAAGGCUGACCGAGCAACGCCGCGGGAGUGAAGAAGGGUUUCGGAUCGUAAAACUCUGUUGGUAGAGAAGAACGGUGGUGAGAGUGGAAAGCUCAUGAAGUGACGGUAACUACCCAGAAAGGGACGGCUAACUACGUG